rnacentral:rRNA from 1 species
UACGGGGGGGGGCAAGCGUUGUUCGGAAUUACUGGGCGUAAAGGGCGCGUAGGCGGCCAGCACAAGUCAGUUGUGAAAUCUCCGAGCUUAACUCGGAAAGGUCAACUGAUACUGUGCGGCUAGAGUGCGGAAGGGGCAACUGGAAUUCUCGGUGUAGCGGUGAAAUGCGUAGAUAUCGAGAGGAACACCUGCGGCGAAGGCGGGUUGCUGGGCUGAUACUGACGCUGAGGCGCGAAAGCCAGGGGAGCAAACGGG